rnacentral:misc_RNA from 1 species
GAUGAAGAACGCAGCGAAAUGCGAUAAGUAAUGUGAAUUGCAGAAUUCAGUGAAUCAUCGAAUCUUUGAACGCACAUUGCGCCCGCCAGUAUUCUGGCGGGCAUGCCUGUUCGAGCGUCAUUUCAACCCUCAAGCCCCAGCGGCCUGGUGUUGGGGACCGGCGACCUCGCCCGAGCCCGCCCUCCGGGGCGCGUGCCCGGUGCGUCCGCCGCCCCCGAAAUGAAUUGGCGGCCUCGUCGCGGCCUCCUCUGCGUAGUAGCAUAACCUCGCAAGCGGGAGCGCGACGCGGCCACUGCCGUAAAACGCCCAACUUUUUUAGAGUUGACCUCGGAUCAGGUAGGAAUACCCGCUGAACUUAAGCAUAUCAAUAAGCGGAGGA